UACGUAGGAGACGAGCGUUGUCCGGAGUUACUGGGCGUAAAGGGCUCGUAGGCGGCCAACUAAGUCAUACGUGAAAUCCCUCGGCUUAACCGGGGAACUGCGUCUGAUACUGGAUGGCUUGGAUUUGGGAGAGGGAUGCGGAAUUCCAGGUGUAGCGGUGAAAAUGCGUAGAUAUCUGGAGGAACACCGGUGGCGAAGGCGGCAUCCUGGACCAGCAUUGACGCUGAGGAGCGAAAAGCCGGGAGGCAAACGGGGAUUAAG
rnacentral:rRNA from 1 species